CCUACGGGGUGCAGCAGUGGGGAAUAUUGCGCAAUGGGCGAAAGCCUGACGCAGCGACGCCGCGUGAGGGAUGAAGGUCUUCGGAUCGUUAACCUCUGUCAGCAGGGAAGAACGGUCACUGUGCUAAUCAGCAGUGAAUUGACGGUACCUGCAAAGGAAGCACCGGCUAACUCCGUGCCAGCAGCCGCGGUAAUACGGAGGGUGCGAGCGUUAAUCGGAAUUACUGGGCGUAAAGCGCUCGUAGGCGGUAUGUCAAGUCAAGGGUGAAAUCCCCGCGCUCAACGUGGGAACUGCCUUGGAAACUGGCAAACUGGAGUGUGUGAGAGGAUAGUGGAAUGCCAGGUGUAGGAGUGAAAUCCGUAGAUAUCUGGAGGAACAUCAGUGGCGAAGGCGACUAUCUGGCACAUAACUGACGCUGAGGAGCGAAAGCGUGGGUAGCAAACAGGAUUAGAUACCCGUGUAGUC
rnacentral:rRNA from 1 species